UCCCUGGUAGCCUAGUGGUUAAGGAUCUAGCAUUGUCACUGAUGUGGCUUAGGUUCGUUCCCUGACCUGGGAA
rnacentral:tRNA from 1 species